rnacentral:rRNA from 1 species
UACGUAGGGUGCAAGCGUUGUCCGGAAUUAUUGGGCGUAAAGAGCUCGUAGGCGGUCUGUCGCGUCUGCUGUGAAAAUCCAGGGCUCAACCCUGGACCUGCAGUGGGUACGGGCAGACUAGAGUGCGGUAGGGGAGAUCGGAAUUCCUGGUGUAGCGGUGAAAUGCGUAGAUAUCAGGAGGAACACCUGUGGCGAAAGCGGCUCACUGGACCAUAACUGACGCUGAUGCACGAAAGCUAGGGGAGCAAACAGG